rnacentral:lncRNA from 1 species
UGGGCCUCGUGUAUUACACCUGUGGCUGCCGCCGAGGCGCGGUUCAAUUUGAAGUCUGAGCCCCUACAGGCCCGUGAAUCCUGGAUUACAACUGCAGUUUGUGCAAGAAGCAGCAGCACCUGCACUUCCACUUAGCAACCUCCGGCUUCACGCUCCUCCAGGGCGCAGAGAGCAUCAAAGCAUUAUCACCGACCCAACACACACCGGCGCUGCGUAGUUUCUGCAGCAGGUGUGGGGUGAAGAGUUGCCACACAGCUGUCUGACACCGGGUGUACGGCGUCACCCCUCACUUCCUGGACAAGGCAACAUUUUCCUAAAGGUUACAUUUCUGGUUCCAGCUAAGAAAGGUGAUGAAAAGUUGCUUUUUAGACAAAAUAAGCCCUUACCCUCAAAGGAAAGUUGCUCCUGAAAUACAAGCAGAAAUCAGUGGAGUCCUGGUUGCUUCCUCUGCAAAUCGGUGAUGGCUUAUACAAAGAACAGUAUUAAAGACUCCGCGGCUGGACGCGGUGGGUCGCGCCUGUAAUCCCAGCACUUUGGGAGACCGAGGUGAGUGGAUCGCCUGAGGUCAGGAGUUCAAGACCAGCCUGGCCAACAUGGUGAAACCCCGACUCUGCUAAAAAUACAAAAAAUUACCCCGGGGCGUGGUGGCAGACAACUGUAAUCCCAGCUACUCGAGAGGCUGAGGCAGGA